GACAGCAGCAGCCAGGGAACACGUAGGGUGCAAGCGUUAUCCGGAAUUAUUGGGCGUAAAGAGCUCGUAGGCGGUCUGUCGCGUCUGCUGUGAAAACCGGAGGCUCAACCUCCGGCCUGCAGUGGGUACGGGCAGACUAGAGUGCGGUAGGGGAGAUUGGAAUUCCUGGUGUAGCGGUGGAAUGCGCAGAUAUCAGGAGGAACACCGAUGGCGAAGGCAGAUCUCUGGGCCGUAACUGACGCUGAGGAGCGAAAGCAUGGGGAGCGAACAGGAUUAGAUACCCGAGUAGUCCCUGUCUCUUAUACA
rnacentral:rRNA from 1 species